CCUACGGGAGGCAGCAGUGAGGAAUAUUGGACAAUGGGCGCAAGCCUGAUCCAGCCAUGCCGCGUGCAGGAAGAAGCAUCUAUGGUGUGUAAACUGCUUUUGUACGGGAAGAAACACUCCGACGUGUCGGAGCUUGACGGUACCGUAAGAAUAAGGAUCGGCUAACUCCGUGCCAGCAGCCGCGGUAAUACGGAGGAUCCAAGCGUUAUCCGGAAUCAUUGGGUUUAAAGGGUCCGUAGGCGGUUUAAUAAGUCAGUGGUGAAAGCCCAUCGCUUAACGAUGGAACGGCCAUUGAUACUGUUAGACUUGAAUUAUUGGGAAGUAACUAGAAUAUGUAGUGUAGCGGUGAAAUGCUUAGAUAUUACAUGGAAUACCAAUUGCGAAGGCAGGUUACUAUCAAUAUAUUGACGCUGAUGGACGAAAGCGUGGGGAGCGAACAGGAUUAGAUACCCUGGUAGUCCACGCCGUAAACGAUGGAUACUAGCUGUUCGGAGCAAUCUGAGUGGCUAAGCGAAAGUGAUAAGUAUCCACCUGGGGAGUAACGUUGCAAGAAUGAAACUUNAAAUUGAAUUGACGG
rnacentral:rRNA from 1 species